UACAGAGGGUGCGAGCGUUGUCCGGAUUUACUGGGCGUAAAGGGCGUGCAGGCGGUUUGUUAAGUGCAGGGUGAAAGCUCCCGGCUCAACUGGGAGAGGUCCUUGCAUACUGGCAAACUCGAGGGAGGCAGAGGAAAGUGGAAUUCCCGGUGUAGUGGUGAUAUGCGUAGAUAUCGGGAGGAACACCUGUGGCGAAGGCGGCUUUCUGGGCCUUACCUGACGCUGAGACGCGAAAGCGUGGGGAGCGAACCGG
rnacentral:rRNA from 1 species